rnacentral:lncRNA from 1 species
GUGGGCAGCAAAGCUGCAAGCUUUGGUAAUGCAUCUGCCUUGACAUUGUCCACUCUAGGGACUUGCUAAAUAUUUUCUUCUCGAGCUUCAUAGCCACCCUUGAUAUCGCCAACCACUAACUGCAAGUUGCUAAUGACCUUCAGAUGCUGGGCCCCUACUUCCCUUACCACCCGGAGGCCAAAAAGUAGAGCUUCAUACUCCGCCUCAUUAUUAGUGGCAGAGAAGUCAAAACGUAAGGCGUAUCCUGCCACCUCUCCUUCAGGAUUGGUUAGAAUGAGUUCAGCCCCUGCUCU